UAGAGUCUGUUCUGUGGGGGUCUCUGU
rnacentral:piRNA from 1 species